UGGAGGACAUUUGCCCCUAUACUAUAUAAAGAGAACUUCCCCCAUGUGUUGAAGGUACAGAAUUCACUCUAAUUGUGCAUCCUUUGUUGAGCUUUGCCAAAUUACUUGAAUGUCAAAAUGUUUCCAUAGGUAUAUUUCAUGCCCGAUCCGCUUUGGCGUCAUUAGCUCAGAAACAUGAAAGAUUGAAGUUACCCCAGAGACCUAGCUAGGGAAGCGACCUAUGACGAUGUUUCUAGUCUUCUAUUUUUUUU
rnacentral:lncRNA from 1 species